rnacentral:tRNA from 1 species
GGGGGCGGAUGUAGCCAAGUGGUUAAGACGCGAA